GACAGAGGUGCCGAGCGUUAGGCGGAAUCACUGGGCUUAAAGCGUGUGUAGGCGGAUCGUUAAGUGCCUUGUGAAAUCCCACGGCUCACCCGUGGAACUGCUGGGCAUACUGGCGGUCUUGAGCCACCUAGGGGCAACCGGAACAAACGGUGGAGCGGUGAAAUGCGUAGAUAUCGUUUGGAACGCCAAUGGUGAAAACAGGUUACUGGGGGUGUGCUGACGCUGAGACACGAAAGCCAGGGGAGCAAACGGGG
rnacentral:rRNA from 1 species